CAGUAUGCUGGGCAGUGCCUAGACAGAGAUCCCACAGUUUGCCAGAUCUUCCGAGUUACUUUCUACCCCAAGCAACCAGCACACCUGUUGAUCCUGCUCCUCCUGAAUCUAUUCCAAGUUACUUUAUGCCCCGAGGAGUCAGUACACCUAUUGGUCCUGCUCCUCCAGUGUGCUGGGCAGGGCCGGCAGGCAGGACUUACGAUGUCUCACAAGCAUCAGGCUCAUUACUCAUCGUUUUGCCACCCAGAGCACAGAUGAAUUACGCCUAUGUUAUACCACCAAAUCCUUUCUGCCCUGCCAAUCCCUCCAGCUGGUGUGCGCAAGCAAGUGGGAGUGGCUCUUCAUUCGGCUCAUCCUCCGCUUACAGCAGUGACCCAUUCCGUACUUUUACCAUUUCCGAUCCCUCCAAUUGGAGUGCACAAGCAACUGGUAGUGGCUCUACAUUCAGCUCAUGCUCUGGGUACAGCACUUGGCCGUUCAGUAGUUUUUGGUCUUCCGGACCCUCCGAAUCAUCCUCCAGUUUUGGAUCACGCAGAGCCUAUUCUCUGCCUUCGCUCAGACCUUUUCUGGAUCAGAAUAUCUCAGCAAGACUCGGAAGAAAUCUGUCUUGGUGACAGUUUUGUGAUGGAAUAGCCUAGCCUCUCCUAACAAGGAAAAAGCUGUAGUAAUCUAAAAAGAGCUCAUUAAAGUACA